AGAAUCAACGCUGGCGGCGUGCCUCAGACAUGCAAGUCGAACGCGAAAGUCCCCUUCGGGGGACAAGUAGAGUGGCGCACGGGUGAGUAACACGUAGGUAAUCUACCUUUGGAUGGGGAAUAACAACCGGAAACGGUUGCUAAUACCGCAUGAUGCAGCGGCACCUAAUGGUGACAGUUGUUAAAGCGGGGGGAUCGAAAGACCUCGCGUCUGAAGAGGAGCCUGGGGCGCGGAUUAGCUAGUUGGUAAGGUAAUGGCUUACCAAGGCUACGAUCC
rnacentral:rRNA from 1 species